AUCUUUGCGCUUGGGGCAAUGACGCAGCUAACGAGGUUCUAACCGAGGUGCGUCUAUUGCUGGUUGAAAAUUAUUUCCAAACCCCUUCUUAGGCCUGAGUUCUGCUUAGGUCUUCGAGAAUUUCUGGAAGUGCUCCCUUUGGGGUAAAGCC
rnacentral:snRNA from 1 species